GCUGGCGGCAGGCUUAACACAUGCAAGUCGAACGGUAACAGGGGAAAGCUUGCUUUCUUGCUGACGAGUGGCGGACGGGUGAGUAAUGCUUGGGAAUCUGGCUUAUGGAGGGGGAUAACGACGGGAAACUGUCGCUAAUACCGCGUAGAGUCGAGAGACGAAAGUGUGGGACCGCAAGGCCACAUGCCAUGAGAUGAGCCCAAGUGGGAUUAGGUAGUUGGUGGGGUAAAGGCCUACCAAGCCGACGAUCUCUAGCUGGUCUGAGAGGAUGACCAGCCACACCGGGACUGAGACACGGCCCGGACUCCUACGGGAGGCAGCAGUGGGGAAUAUUGCGCAAUGGGGGCAACCCUGACGCAGCCAUGCCGCGUGAAUGAAGAAGGCCUUCGGGUUGUAAAGUUCUUUCGGUGACGAGGAAGGUUGUUGUGUUAAUAGCGCAACAAAUUGACGUUAAUCACAGAAGAAGC
rnacentral:rRNA from 1 species